rnacentral:rRNA from 1 species
AGCGAACAGAUAAGGAGCUUGCUCCUUUGACGUUAGCGGCGGACGGGUGAGUAACACGUGGGUAACCUACCUAUAAGACUGGGACAACUUCGGGAAACCGGAGCUAAUACCGGAUAAUAUGUUGAACCGCAUGGUUCAAUAGUGAAAGAUGGUUUUGCUAUCACUUAUAGAUGGACCCGCGCCGUAUUAGCUAGUUGGUGAGGUAACGGCUCACCAAGGCAACGAUACGUAGCCGACCUGAGAGGGUGAUCGGCCACACUGGAACUGAGACACGGUCCAGACUCCUACGGGAGGCAGCAGUAGGGAAUCUUCCGCAAUGGGCGAAAGCCUGACGGAGCAACGCCGCGUGAGUGAUGAAGGUCUUAGGAUCGUAAAACUCUGUUAUUAGGGAAGAACAAACGUGUAAGUAACUGUGCACGUCUUGACGGUACCUAAUCAGAAAGCCACGGCUAACUACGUGCCAGCAGCCGCGGUAAUACGUAGGUGGCAAGCGUUAUCCGGAAUUAUUGGGCGUAAAGCGCGCGUAGGCGGUUUUUUAAGUCUGAUGUGAAAGCCCACGGCUCAACCGUGGAGGGUCAUUGGAAACUGGAAAACUUGAGUGCAGAAGAGGAAAGUGGAAUUCCAUGUGUAGCGGUGAAAUGCGCAGAGAUAUGGAGGAACACCAGUGGCGAAGGCGACUUUCUGGUCUGUAACUGACGCUGAUGUGCGAAAGCGUGGGGAUCAAACAGGAUUAGAUACCCUGGUAGUCCACGCCGUAAACGAUGAGUGCUAAGUGUUAGGGGGUUUCCGCCCCUUAGUGCUGCAGCUAACGCAUUAAGCACUCCGCCU